UACGUAGGGGGCAAGCGUUGUCCGGAAUCAUUGGGCGUAAAGCGCGCGUAGGCGGCCCGAUAAGUCCGCUGUAAAAGUCCAGGGCUCAACCCUGGAAAGCCGGUGGAUACUGUCGGGCUAGAGUCCGGAAGAGGAGAGUGGAAUUCCUGGUGUAGCGGUGAAAUGCGCAGAUAUCAGGAAGAACACCCGUGGCUAAGGCGGCUCUCUAGUACGGUACUGACGCUGAGACGCGAAAGCGUGGGGAGCGAACAGG
rnacentral:rRNA from 1 species